rnacentral:rRNA from 1 species
AACGAACGCUGGCGGCGCGCCUAAUACAUGCAAGUCGAGCGAGAAGACGUAGCAAUACGUUUGUAAAGCGGCGAACGGGUGAGGAAUACAUGGGUAACCUACCCUCGAGUGGGGAAUAACUAGCCGAAAGGUUAGGCUAAUACCGCGUACGCUCCUUGGACUUCGGUUCAGGGAGGAAAGCGAUACCGUGGGUAUCGCGCUCUUGGAUGGGCUCAUGUCCUAUCAGCUUGUUGGUGAGGUAACGGCUCACCAAGGCUUCGACGGGUAGCUGGUCUGAGAGGACAAUCAGCCACACUGGCACUGCGACACGGGCCAGACUCCUACGGGAGGCAGCAGUAAGGAAUAUUGCGCAAUGGGCGAAAGCCUGACGCAGCGACGCCGC